rnacentral:pre_miRNA from 1 species
UGUAAACAUCCUUGACUGGAAGCUGUGUCCAUGCUUAGCUUUCAGUCUGAUGUUUGCUGC